rnacentral:misc_RNA from 1 species
UUUCCGUAGGUGAACCUGCGGAAGGAUCAUUAUUGGAUUUUGAAACUUCAGGCUGCUGCUGGCUCUCCUCGGAGGGCAUGUGCACGCUUGUUGUCCAUUAUUUCUCUCACUGUGCACAAAUUGUAGACCUUUCAGUAGGCCUAUGUUGUUUUUCGCAAUCUCUGAAUGUAAUAGAAUGGUUUUGAAUCUUGGGAAAUACAAUACAACUUUCAGCAACGGAUCUCUUGGCUCUC